GAACUGGGCUGGGAGGAGUGCAGAGUAUAUGGAUAUUUUCAAUGAGGCUCUGUGUAAACAUGCAGUGGUGCUUCUAUUCUGACAUGUAAAAAACAACUACGAAAAUGUGCAUUUAUCUAAAAGCUCAAGAAUGAGUGGGAGAUGUGUGUUACCAUGAAGGACCAGAAAGUCUUGAGAAAAGUGCCCCCAGAAGAUUGGACGAUGACUGCCUGCAUUGGUGAGCAAUCUUACUGUCUAUUGACUUAAAUUCUAAUCUUCUGGAAGCGCUCUCACAGACAGAAAUAACGUUUUACCAACUAUCUAGGAUGCCCCUUGGAAGAACUGGAAAUUUAAAAUCUGUGGUCACAAAGGAGAGUAAAGAGAAAAGACAUGCUACCCUCUAAAAUUACAUAAUUUGUUAAAAGAAGACAGAAAACAAUAGAUAAAAGAAAAACAGGAUGUUGGGAGAAAUGUGGAAAGAAGACACAAAGUAAAGAAGACAAAAGUCAAGUAACCUUCUGAGGACAAAGAAGCAAUUCUUUGGUUUCAUAAAUACUUUCAAAUUUAUAUUUAGCUUAUUCAUUUCUAUAAUCCUUAUGUAUUUCUCUUACAUUUUUCCAUAGUGUCUAUCUAUUAAUUGUAUCUUUACUUGAA
rnacentral:lncRNA from 1 species